rnacentral:rRNA from 1 species
GGCUACGGCCGCAUUGUCGAGCCACAUCAGUACUGAGGUUGGAGACAACUUGGGAACCUGUGGUGCUGUAGUCU